rnacentral:rRNA from 1 species
UAGGGAAUCUUCGGCAAUGGACGAAAGUCUGACCGAGCAACGCCGCGUGAGUGAAGAAGGUUUUCGGAUCGUAAAACUCUGUUGUUAGAGAAGAACAAGGACGUUAGUAACUGAACGUCCCCUGACGGUAUCUAACUAGAAAGCCACGGCUAACUACGUGCCAGCAGCCGCGGUAAUACGUAGGUGGCAAGCGUUGUCCGGAUUUAUUGGGCGUAAAGCGAGCGCAGGCGGUUUCUUAAGUCUGAUGUGAAAGCCCCCGGCUCAACCGGGGAGGGUCAUUGGAAACUGGGAGACUUGAGUGCAGAAGAGGAGAGUGGAAUUCCAUGUGUAGCGGUGAAAUGCGUAGAUAUAUGGAGGAACACCAGUAGCGAAGGCGGCUCUCUGGUCUGUAACUGACGCUGAGGCUCGAAAGCGUGGGGAGCAAACAGG